CCCGAGAUCGACGCUGCUGAUUGGUGCACUUUUGUUGAAAGUCGACUAACUCCUGAAUUUCAGGAAUUGAGUAAGGUGCAACGUGAACGUUCCUCGAAAAUCCAAUCCAGACAUCGAAGUGGUCAGAGUGGAAUGGUGAACGUACGGGAAGCUGUG